rnacentral:lncRNA from 1 species
AAAAUCAAAGAAAAAUCCACGUCAUAAUGUUCAAGUUACAAAAAAAGGGGUUGUGAUACAAUCCACGACUAAUGAAGAAAAUAAAGGAGAAUCGGUAGAGGCAACGACCAAUUUACUAUCAACAUUUGAUUUCCCAAGGCUUGCCUCUCCAUCGUUCAGAUCAACCCAAGGAUUGAGAAAGACAAUUUGAAGGACCCUUUUCUCGAAUGACUCCUGGGUCGUAGUCAUUACAUCAUCUAUAAGGAUUAAUUUCUCCUCCACAAAAUUCCCUUCUAGAGCCGUGUUUUGGUUAGUGAUGGUCUCCACACCCCUUUUGGCCUUAGUUAUCUCACUCUUCAUAGACUCAGGAUUCUAUUUAAGCUUAGAGACCCCAUUCUUCUUACUUUUAAUAGUUGUUUAGACCGUCUUAAAACACUUUUCAACUAUCUUUAAA